rnacentral:tRNA from 25 species
GGCGGCGUAGCUCAGCUGGUUAGAGCGUUCGGUUCAUACCCGAAAGGUCGGGGGUUCGAUUCCCUCCACCGCUACCA